rfam:Solenopsis invicta Si_gnG.contig04896, whole genome shotgun sequence.
UUUAAAUGAUGAGAAUUCCAGGUCCGUGUUUCUGAUUAAUCAGUGAUUAAUCUUAUAACCAUUCUCUGAUAAA